GUGCCUAACACAUGCAAGUCGAACGAAGCUCUGCGAUACAAGACUUCGGUCAAGUUGAACGGAUGACUUAGUGGCGGACGGGUGAGUAACGCGUGAGGAACCUGCCUUUCAGUGGGGGACAACAGUUGGAAACGACUGCUAAUACCGCAUAAUGUAUUCUGACCGCAUGAUCGGAAUACCAAAGAUUUAUUGCUGAAAGAUGGCCUCGCGUCUGAUUAGAUAGUUGGUGAGGUAACGGCUCACCAAGUCGACGAUCAGUAGCCGGACUGAGAGGUUGAACGGCCACAUUGGGACUGAGAUACGGCCCAGACUCCUACGGGAGGCAGCAGUGGGGAAUAUUGGGCAAUGGGGGAAACCCUGACCCAGCAACGCCGCGUGAAGGAAGAAGGCUUUCGGGUUGUAAACUUCUUUUACCAGGGACGAAGGACGUGACGGUACCUGGAGAAAAAGCCACGGCUAACUACGUGCCAGCAGCCGCGGUAAUACGUAGGUGGCAAGCGUUGUCCGGAUUUACUGGGUGUAAAGGGCGUGUAGGCGGAGAAGCAAGUCAGAAGUGAAAUCCAUGGGCUUAACCCAUGAACUGCUUUUGAAACUGUUUCCCUUGAGUAUCGGAGAGGCAGGCGGAAUUCCUAGUGUAGCGGUGAAAUGCGUAGAUAUUAGGAGGAACACCAGUGGCGAAGGCGGCCUGCUGGACGACAACUGACGCUGAGGCGCGAAAGCGUGGGGAGCAAACAGGAUUAGAUACCCUGGUAGUCCACGCUGUAAACGAUGAAUACUAGGUGUGGGAGGACUGACCCCUUCCGUGCCGCAGUUAACACAAUAAGUAUUCCACCUGGGGAGUACGAUCGCAAG
rnacentral:rRNA from 1 species